UUUGAAGAAGACAGGAGCGCAUUUGGUGUGGAUGCAGUACAUUCACUAAUCCAAGCCUGCACCACGCUUCCGUUUACUGUUCAGAAGGUACAGAGGCCUCACUCCACUGAGACAGACGGCAGCAGCGUCUGAAAGGGGAGGGAGAAGAGAAGCGUGGCCAGAUGAUUGUGCCCCACAGAAACACAGUUUACAGAAGAAGAAAGGAAGCUCAGAGAAGCUAAGCCAGCUGUGAUAAAGAAGCCCACAGUUGUAAGAAGGGACAAGGCUGAGAUCUGAACCCACUGUUAGAAGAAAUGGAAGAUCAACCAAGAGAAAAUGAAGGAACACAGAGAUGAGCAAAUGCAGGAUGUUGCUACCACCUGAGCACUGGAGAGUCGAGGCAGUGUGUCUGGAGCCCAGGAUCCUAGGCCAUAGAUGGAUGUUGGAACCAUGCAGAUCUGUGGCAUGGGCUAGAAGGGUGGAAUCCUUCCUGCCCCAGUCAUUCUCACUGAGACACCAAUAUGAUCCGCCCCCCCCACACACACCAUAUGCGGAAUUUACAAAGGGAAUAAAGGUUCCCUGCCAAUACACACACCAUAUGCAGAAUUUACAAAUGGAAUCUGUUCCAUGACUCCUGCACCCCUCAGCCAGA
rnacentral:lncRNA from 1 species